CCGUCACUUCAGGGUGGCUGGGUGGAGUUGGACGCAACUAGUAUCCACUUGAGAGGGAUGAAUGUAUUAUGAGCCUUGAUAAUAAAAGGACAAUUAAUGUGUGAUUAUCCCUUAGAUAAAGGGAAAAAGUAUGCAAGAAUAAGCACUCUGGCUCAAUAAAGAGUGUAGCAAGUGUGAAUGGGUUUAGGAAAAUAGCAUCAAUAAAGUUUGAACCAAGAUCUAUAAAAGAUUUUUGCAUUUAGGAUGUCUGUGUGAAAGGGGAGAACAUUUUCUGAGCCCAGUGUAGUGGGAGUGAGAACAAAGGAGGACGUUUCCACAGUAAAGUUGUAUUACAUGGGGGGAGCAAGAGGUGCUCUCCCCUCCUGGACCAUCACUUGGGAGUAAUCAGGUUACAGAGACUGGUGUUGAGAAAGGAAUGCAGGAGCCCUAAAACAAUAAAGUCAACUGAAGGAAGGUUGUUUUAGAGAAAAAUAAAUACAAAUGUUCCAAGAAAUGGACUAAUAUAGAGAGGGCAGAUAUGGUGGAAUAUAGAUAUAAUGAUAAAUUAAUUAAAAUAAGAUAUGCAUUUAUUAUUGAACAACUUUUAUUAAUAGAUGAAUUUAAAAGAUGCACGUGCUUAAAACUUUUUUAAUACGUGAAGACAUCUAAAAUUUGUUUCUUGUUAUCCCUGGGACAGUAUGAAGUUAAUCCAUUACAGAGUUUCAGAGAUUGGGCUUGUGUAAAUGUAAAAAUAAAAGAAAUAACUUGUGCAAUGUGGAAUGAAAGCAAGAUUGGGUGACCAAGUUAAUAGACAUUUUGAUUCAAAAGCUAUAGGCAUUUUACAAUAGGAAGGGAACUAGUUGCUUAGAGAAUUAAAUUUAAUUAUUUUAUUUACAAUAAUAGGAAUUAUUUUAUGUUGGUUAGGAAACAUUAAUUCACAAAUACCAGAUUAUUCUGAAUCAUGUAUGCAAAUUUAGAAGAAAAAUGAUGAUUGAAGUUCUUAUUUUACCAUAUGCAUGUCAUGCUGUUAUAAAAAAAGGUUUAUUUUAUUUUAUUGCAGUAUAUUUAGAUAAUAAUGGUAGCUGAUUUCUGCAUUUUGCAAAGAAGAAAAAAUGCUUGCUAUUUUCCUGCAAUGAAGAACUUGCUUAACUAACAAAGAAUAAGAGAACUGCUGUUUUCAACCAGAUUUUUUAUUAAGGGACCACUGAAAGAAGAGGUUGAAAACUGAAAAUAAGAAAAAGAGCUGACUGCUCAGAAACAAUUUGGUCAGAAGUUACAUAGGUACAUUUGAUUAAUGCAGUCUCCGAGUGUUAAACUUUCAGAUGACUUCUGGAACAGUGCCUUGACAAAGGAAAGCAAUGAAAUGGAGUCUGUCGAGGAAUGGCAAAGCAGCAAACACAGCAGCAGAGAGAAGAAGAGGGAGGGGCUGAUGGAUGUUCCCCUCCCCUCUUGAAAGAGAAGAACACACUUCAGCAAGGAGAAGACUGAAUCAAAGCAGGAAAAGGUGAAUCUUUCACUUGAGACUUUUCCUGAGGGUGAAAAGAACAUUAUGAAAUGCAAAACUCUGGCAGAAAGCAACCAGAAGCCAGACUGAGAAGAAUCAGAGAAACAACGGAGACCGUACACCACAACAUCAGGUCUUUGAGUGCCAUCACAGACUGACGACCCAGUACAACAGCCCAGGCUGAUGAUCUAACCAGAAGGACUUCCAUCCCUUCAGUGCACAGGUUCCAGUCCAGCCUCAUGUCUUAAAGAAAAAAUAAUAACUUUGACAGACAGAAGUGAGUACUUGACUCACCAAUCAGAUAAACAUGGAGCUGGAUUUGGCAUAGUAAGACUGUUUCAUUAACCAACUAGGGGGAAAUGCACAACUAAAUACUUGACAACAAUGCUGAGCGCUUUGGGAAAGAAGAGAAUAAAUAAAUAAAUAAAAAAGGGUAUCCUGAUGAACAAUAGGAAAAAUUUAUAUGGUUGAAAAAAUAGAAAUAUUGGUCACUCCAUUUUGUUUUAAGGUAAUUUUCUAAGGUAAAACUGAAUAAAAUAAUAAUGAAUAAAAGAUUAUUCCAAAGAUCCAAAAUCAUGAAAUCACAUAUACUGUCAUCACUGGGGAUAACCAGAUGGAAAUGUUGAUGGCCAUGGAUCCAAGAUAUGCAGAGAUCUCCAAUCCUCUUCUCAGAGUCGCUCAUGAGCAAUAACAAAAAAGUAUUUGACUAAACUUUAAAUUAGACAAACACAUGACAUUUGAGAAAUGAUAAUUGGCUCUCUCAAAUGCUCAAUGCCUAGGCCUAAUAUUCUAAACAAAUUCAUCUAGGAGAUUUUGGAAAAAGGAAAAAAAAAAAAAAAAAAAAAGGGGGAGUGAAAGUGUGUGAAAAAGUAUGAAUGAUGGUGUAGUAUGGCAUGAAAGAGAGUGUCUGACGAGACACUGAGGCAAUUCAAUCAAUUUGCCCAAACAGCUGUAUACAAAUAUGAAUGUGGGCCCACAGGGCAAAUUUAUGCCCAGACAAAUAAUGACCAUGGAUGUAUUUGGUUAAGUUUCCUGGUCAGUAUCUAGGUCCUUGUUGUGGCAGAAAGAAAAACAGUGCCACACAUGCGCAGCGUAUAACAUGGGAAGGCAGAGCAAAGCACGCCUGCUCUGUCCACCCCACAUUUAACAUUCUUUUCAGCAUAUCAUGAUGGAGCUGAUUGUGUCAAAAGGAUGAAAUAUUAUCUUUCUGACUGUUAAAAUAAAUGCAGUGGGUUGAGUGUUUUCCAGGUCAAAAGGCCUAUGCUACUGAGCAACAUAGGCCUAGAUAAAUUAUCCAGUGAUAUAGUGGAACUCAGUUUACAAAAUAAAAAGAUAACUAAAUAAGCAAAUUGUUGAGAAUAAAAAUGAAAGGAAUUAAAAAAUAGUAAAGACAGCACAGGAAUUGUGAAAACUCAAAAAGGGGCCAAGACAGCCCUCAACCCACAUUACAUUUCCACAGGUCACACCAAGAAGGACGACUGGCAAGAUGAACAAAUUAGCAUGCUUGAUAACACUAACAAAAAAUUC